CUCUUAGCAAUUUUUAUGUGUGUCUCACACACACACACACACACACACAUAAAUAUAUACAUAUAUAUAUAUAUAUAUAUAUUUUUUUUUUUUUUUUGAGACAGGGUCUUGCUAUGUAGUUCAGGCAGGCUGGCCUUGAACUCACUAUAUAGCCCAAGCUAGCCUUGAACUUGUAGCAAUCCUCCUGCCUCAGCCUCCCAAGGGAUUAUAGGUGUGUACAACAUAUUGUUGCAUGUGCAAUAAUAUAUUGACUUGAGCACAACAUAUAGUUACUAGCUAUAGUAACCAUGAUGUAUCACAGAUCUUAUGUAUUUAUGUUGUGUUUUUUGAGAUGGGAUCUCACUAUCUAGGCUAGGCUGUCCUUGAACUUAAGCUUCUCCUGCCUUAGCUUCCUGAGUAGCUGGGAUUGCAGGUGUGUGCUACUGUGCCUGAUUUCUCCUUUUUAAAGGCUGAAUAAUAUUCCACUUUUGUAUGGGCCACAUUUUGCUUAAUUCUUCAUCUGUGGAUAAAAAUUUGGGUUCCUUCCACCUUUUAGCUAUUGUGAAUAAUCAUGCUAUGAACAUGGGUGUGCAUGUAUCUCUUCAAGACUCUUCUGUCAGUUCUUUUGGGUAUAUUUGCAGGCGUAGACUUGGUGAAUCAUAUGGUAGUACUCUUUUUACUUUUUUGAGGAAUUGCCACACUAUUUUCUGUAGUGACUACCAUUUUGUCUUUCCACCAGUACUGUACAAGAGUUCCAAAUCCUCCACAUCCUUGCCAACACCUGUUCAUUUUUGGUUUUUUGGUUGUUGUUUUAUUUUUGUCUUUGAUAGUAGCCAUCCUAAUAAAUGGUCACAUGCAUAUAUGUAUAUAUAUGUGUGUGUAUAUAUAUAUGUGUGUGUGUAUAUAUGUGUGUAUAUAUGUGUGUGUAUACAUGUGUGUAUAUAUGUGCAUACAUAUAUGUAUGUAUUUUUUUGCAGGGGUACAGGGAUUGAACUCAGGACCUUGUUCUUGGGAGAUCCUGUGUCCAUUCCCACUUACCCAACGAUAACAUCAUGAAGAACAAACAGUGUCACAGCCCAGAUGCGGACAGAAAAGCAGAACAGAUACAGGGCUCUGUCUUCACCUGCACCAUCGUGGGCCUGACCUCUGUCCCACCGCUGUGCCGCCUCAGCCUCUGCCGAUUACUAGCCCAUUCUCCAUUUCUAUAAUUGUGUUGUUCGGGAAUGUUCUGUGAGUGAUAGCUAACAGUUUGUGACCUUUUGAACUGGCAUAGUUUUCUGGAACUCCGGCCAAUGUUUGUUUGACCAUUCACUUGUUGGAGGUCAUCUUAGCUCUUACAAGUUUUUGACUCCUAAAAAAUAAAGCU
ensembl:lncRNA